rnacentral:rRNA from 1 species
GUCCCUGGCCAUGCCACCCUGAACAAGCCCGAUCCUGUUUCAUCUCAGAAGCUAAGCAGGGUUGGUUGGGCCUGGUUAGUACUUGGAUGGGAGACCACCUAGGAAGACCAGGUGCUGUAGGCG